rnacentral:rRNA from 1 species
CAUGCAGUCUACUUGAGGUAACUUCGGUUACCGAGGGUGGCGGACGGGUGAGUAAUGCGUAAAGAACUUGCCCCUUAGUCUGGGACAACUGUUGGAAACGACAGCUAAUACCGGAUAUUAUGAGACCUUGGCAUCAAGGACUUAUGAAAGCUAUAUGCGCUAGGGGAGAGCUUUGCGUCCUAUUAGCUAGUUGGUGAGGUAAUGGCUCACCAAGGCGACGAUAGGUAGCCGGCCUGAGAGGGUGAACGGCCACAAGGGGACUGAGACACGGCCCUUACUCCUACGGGAGGCAGCAGUGGGGAAUAUUGGACAAUGGACCAAAAGUCUGAUCCAGCAAUUCUGUGUGCUUGAUGAAGGCCUUCGGGUUGUAAAGAGCUUUAAGUGGGGAAGAAGAAAGCGACGGUACCCACAGAAUAAGCGACGGCUAAAUACGUGCCAGCAGCCGCGGUAAUACGUAUGUCGCAAGCGUUAUCCGGAAUUAUUGGGCAUAAAGGGCGUCUAGGCGGUUUAGAAAGUCUGAUGUGAAAAUGCGGGGCUCAACUCCGUAUUGCGUUGGA